UGUGAUGUCACUUCCCCUUUCCCCGCGGGCGGGGGAGUGGCCAGGUACGGUGGCCGGCGAGGGUCGGUAGAUGUCCGCGUGGGCGCUAGGGGGCGCUGUGUGAUCAGACCAUGCAGAAGGACUUGGACGUGGAGUGACUGCCUGGGCGCUGCCUGCCCAGAUGUGCCGGGCAGCUGGCUUGAACCUCGGGGUGCCCCCCCUGCCCCCUGCUUCCCCAGUGAGCAUCUCUCUGGUGGCUCCUUGUUCCUACCUAAGCGCUGGGUUUUGGCCCAUUUGCUGCCCCAGCUGGAGGGGUUCAUGUGACAACUGCCUGCUUUCCUGGCACUGGUGGUCCUGUGUGAAUGGCAGCUCUCAGCACGGCUGCAGCCAAAAACCCAGCUCCCUUCACGUUCCCUGUCGCUCUGUCAGUGCCUUUCCCUUGCCAGGGUGAUCUGUCGCAGGACUCCUGCAGCCUGGUAUUAUUCCCUCCAACAGUGCCCUCUUUGUGCCAGCCAGAAGCCGGGCUGCGUGCGCUGCCAGGCAGUCCUGCCUUCCUGCCUUGCCUCGGGGGAAUGACUUCAAUGGCAGCACUUCUGUGUCAGAAAGAGCACAGCUGUGGUCCUGGUAAUUAGCUCAGAAAACCAGCCUUGAGUGAAAAAUAAGACGGGGAGAGAAAAAUCUACCCCUUCCAGUGAGGCCCCGAUGGAGUCGGCCCCCUUCCCCCACCCUCCAUCUCCCCUCCGGCAUCAACAAGACUUGAAAAGGAGCAAGCAGCGACUCAUUUAAAAGCCUGAUCCUGCAGGGCCGAGCACCAGAGUUGUGGUUGUUCGUUCUUCCACGAUCGUUGUGUGGGUUUGCAUGCUCUGUGCCUCUACGUACUUGAGAUCUUGAGUUAAGAGUGAGAGAGGGGAAAGAGAUGUAGAGAUGAUGCAUCACAAAAUGUUUCCAUGUGAGGGAUGAAUUGGACUCUUGCGUCUCUUGCUGCAAUCCGCUGACUAGUUUCUGAUCCCCUGGGUCUUGGGCCAUCCAAUCCAAAGAAUGUGAUGGUGUGGAGGCUUUGUCCUCUCAGCUGCGUGUACACACUUUGUUGCAUUCACCCUCCUACACCAGGGAGCCUGUGGGGCUGGGAGCAAGCUGUUUAACCUGCCCUAAGAUGGAACAAGUUCAGAGGCAACAUUUUUGGUUUAGGUGCCGAAAAUAGCAAAGCUACUGUAAGACCAGGCUGGGUGCAAAAGGUGAAGAGGGAGGAAAUGCAUCUUUCUUACCCCUUGAAUGGGCAACAGGGAACCUACGGAUCAAGCUACAGAAUGCUCUACCUGCAUUGUACAUUCAUGUCCAGAUGCUCCCUCAUACACAUCAUUAAGCACACAUCAUAUGCUGGGAAUUUUACUGAGCAAGUUAUAUGUGCUCAUCAGAAUUGCUAGCUCUGCUUGCAGUGAACACCACCACAAAUAAGAGAAACAAGCUAACAAUCUGUAAAAAUACAAUUUAAAAAAAUGAUUCCUUUGUUCCACUAUUUGCAAAGCACUCAAGUGAGCCAGGGCAGACAUGAGUAAACAGACAGUUUGGCAACAGAUCCUGCUGGAUCAGUUUGAGUCAGUCAAACCCAUGGAAGAAAUGGAUUCCAGAGGCAGAGCCUGUCACCCCACUGAUAAGGCCCUGUCCCUCUCCCCACAAGGAAUGUAGAUCUGGGGACUUGUGACUAAUCUCUGAAGCGGAUCUGCUCCAGCUGAUCUCAAAUCCUGGGAUGAUGCAUCAAUAGAAAGACUAGAGGGUUGGGCGCUUACAUUUCCAUCCUCUCGCUCCAGCUAUAUCCGUGCAUAUGCCCCACUCCAGAGGGAAUGCCUCUUGCUGAACACAGGAGACAAGCCUGGCUAUGAAAUGGCCAAUGAAUUCAAGCCAUCUGCUUCAGAUUACUAGCUGAGUGACAGCUUCAUACGGGUCAAUGACUUUCAUUAUCCCAACAAGAGACUGCCAUGUGCCUGCAUGUCAAGAAUUGUCCUUCAUUUUUACACUGCUAAUUAACCAGCAAUUUCAUCCUCUGCCCAUCUGGGUAAAUUUGGGGGAAGGAUUUUUUUUUGGUGGGGGGACUUGUUUUCCAGACACUUUGGGAAAGGUCAAAUUGCAGUGUUGUUCUUGUUGAAGGAUCGUAUAGUGUCAUUAGGAAUUGGUAGGUCCCAGAGGCUCUGCUCCUGCAGGUUAUCAAAUAAUUUCUGUGCUCUCCACAUCCAGAUCUCCAAAUCUAAUGAAGGGCAUGUGUCCACAUUACUGUCAAACCUGAACAUCUCUGUCUCUGAGCCUUGCCAUGCUGCAGCAUCAGGUCUUAUGCUUCUCCUCACAAGGGAUACUUCUGGAGAGGUGACACAGGGGUGCACUGGAGCCAGGUGACAUCUGAAUUUGUGUAGUUGCAAAGAGGUCUUCAGGCCAUUCCUCCCAGCUGCCACCCUUGGCUUUUGCCUUUCAGGCUCCCUCGCUUGAUUUAUUAAGAGCUGAGGCUCACAAAAGGAGGCAGGCACCCAUGUGCACACUAUCAAAUCAGUCCAUAAAUUUCCCUUUUAACAGCUUUUGUUGUAGAGACAUCAGUCCCUUGGCUGGGAUAGGGCUUGUUAGUAAAGAGAAGGUCUUUUUUGAAACAGUUGCUAUUUAUAGCAUACAUAAACCCUGCAAAUAACCAUUGUCCCCAGUCUAUUAUUAAGAGGUUUGUCUCUUUCCUUCUUACCCCCUUUCUGCCAUCACUGGUUUGAAGCAAAAGUCUCCAUCAUCAGUGUGUGUCAUCUGAUCUCGAUACCUAUUAUAUCAAGGCUGGCUAGAUUUUCCUGGCAAAUCAGUCCUUUUAACUGGAAACAUCUUGAGCUUAGGGAUACUGCAGUAGCCUGAAGAAUGUAAAGUGAAGAUAAAUUUGACAGUAAUGAAAUCACUCCCCCCCCCCAAUAGCUGCUGUAUCCUGACCAAGUCAAAAGAAACCUCAAAGGCUCUCUGGGGUGGAAUUGUUUUUACUUUUGUGUCCUGUCCAGCACUGAACAUCUUGUUAAUGUUUAGCAAACAAUAAUCUGGGUGUGGGUGACUUGGGGAAUAUAUAACUGACAGUGUAGUCUUUCAUCUCUAGGCUGGCUUGCAGACAGUAUAUACUGAGUUUCUGAGGAUGCUGUUCCUCAGAUACUUGCUAAGUUCUUACCGUCUGUUGUCUAUUUGGUGGACCUGAAUCCUGAAAUUAAUUGUGUCUCAGAGCAGUUGUUACUGGAGUGGACAGGUGUCCACCCCUCAGAAUCAAUCACUGUACGUGGCGCUUACGAGAUUCUUUGUCAUUGUCAGUGGAAUGAACAAUAAUUGAAUGGCCACGAAGACAAACACCAUUUCACCCGAGAGUGAGAUCAUACAGUCAGAGUACAUCAGUGAAAAAUUCAGUAUGAAGGAUGCCUGCAAAAUUGCUACUUGUACCGUAGCUGUCAACUAACAACUAUCAUCUGUACAAUAUUAAAAAUCAGGAAAGGGACCUAGUGGGCCUUUACCUAAUGACCUGCAGCUAAUGUAUUUUUCUCCAUUAUUCAGUGGGGGAAAAUACAGUUUUUGUACUACAGUUAUUAUCGGUUCAACCAGGAAACAUUCCUUUAAGAAGCCCAAAUGAUGGGGAGGCAUCUGACCCUCUCAGAGUGGGAAAUGGAAAACCUGUGAACUUAGGAAAAUUGGGCUCCAUCUGAAUGGUGCUUCACAUCAUGGAGCUGUGAUCUUUGAAGGAGGAGUGUAGACACACAGAUCAGCCUUACUGCUCCUUCCCCGAUGCAGGGUGGAGACAUCUGCUUGAGUUUCUAAAGACACUUGCAUCCUCCUAGGUCAAACAAACUGGGCACAUCUACACAAGAAGUUUACUGCGCAGAAGACUAAGUAGCUGGUCAGUAAACAUCUACAUGGGUGCUGGAGUAAACUAAUUUUUUUUUAACUAAUUUUAAAAACUCCACAGCAGCGCCUGCCAACUAGCCCCGUACUGAAGCAUCCUUUUGCCCCAACCAGCCUCUCCACAGCACGUUGAAUGGGCAGGCGGUGAGCAGCCCCAGGCUGGCAGACUGACCUCCUGGGACUCCUCGCUAGCCAGAGCCGCUCUGACUCAGUUCAACAUGCUGCAGUCCCAGGCACAUCUUCAAAUGGCAAUACACUCUGGAGUAAUAAACUCCAGAGUUUAUUGCUUCGCAUUAAUUGCACAUGUAGAUGUGCCAACUGAGUACCAGAGAAAAUGCCAGGGGAGGGGAACCAUAGUAAAAUGGAGAAUAGCUGGCUCUCUGUUCCCAAAGAUGCGAUAGGACACAUGCUUGGCCCUGAGCAUUUGAAUGGGAGCCCAGAGUGCAAGCAACAAGCACCAAAAAUUGAUCCCAGGUGGCAGCUCUCCAAUCCUAGUUAAGCACAGAAGUGUUUCAGAAGAUCUAUUAAAUCAGAGAUUCUUUUACAGGUUUCAGACUCUGCCUUAAUUCCAUCAGAUUCUCCCUUCCGUCUGCUCCACAGACUUCCCUUAAACCAGGACCAUAGCACUGCCCUGUUACAGAUCUGUGGUGAUUUGAGCCAUUAAUGAGUGCAGAUACCUAGUAUUUUGAAAGUAUUCUCUCUUCAGUGAGGUAUUGAAGAGAGAGCAGGGAUGAGUGGGGGAAAGGGCUCAUGGCCAUUUUAGGCCACGAUAGUCUUAGAACUCCAGUUAUGCAGCGUGGGCCUCAGUAUGUGCUAUUUGUUACGGUAGCAAAUCAUACUGCAGACUACCUACUUCUGCAGGAUUUGGUGUUGGUGAUUCAAAGAGAAGCAUCCUUCCCUCUGAGUCAGUAUUCAACCAGUGCCCAUGCGUGUUGCCAAGAGCACUGCGCUGCUCAAGGGGCCGUCUUUUAGAUGAGAUGUAAAAGGAAGGUCCCAACUGCUCAUACUCCCACUUCUGCAGGGUUAGCUUAAUUCCAAUACCCUGCCCAGGUUCCCGUUUAAGCAAGUAUCUUAUGUUUCUCUAAAUACUCUGCAGAGCUUCACAUGAUUCUCUCUUGCACUUUCUGUGCUGUGUAUUGCAUAAAUCUUCCAAGUACUGUUAGCACCUCCCUUGCUGUAUACCAGAGGUAAUUGCAGCGGUGGUUCAAUGCGGUGUACAGUAUGCUGUGUGUGUAUUUGUAAAGUGGUUUGCGAUUCUUCAGGAGGAAAGGUGCUACAGACGUACUCAAGAUGAUUCUAUAAUGCCCAGAAAGCAGCUAGGAUUGAACCAUCAAGUGUUUGGAGGACUAUUUUUGGUGAACAGGUAACAGUCACAAAGCAAUGCUGUGUCAUUUGCAGUGAGAUACUCUGCCAUACAGCUCCUACAGCACUUACUGGGCUGCAAAGCCAGUUUUAUAAAGAGAAUUAUGUUGCCAAUUAA